GAAAAUUCAUUUCCAAAGUUACUGAGUACUCUUUGGGCACUAAUGCAAGAGCCAAAGAGCGUGGCUGGUCCUGGUCUGCAUAGCGUGGUAUAUUAGAAGGAACCAGCCGUAUCAGACAACUAUAUUUUAUAACUCCAAUAGGAAUAACCAGAAUAAAAAUAAAAAAAAACUAGUUCUGAAUUUCGAAUUUACCUACAUACAUAUAUUAAAAUGUCAUUCGAACGACCGGAAAAUUGGUGGAAAAAUAAUACGAAAAAAAUAUAAAUUUGGUGUUUUUUAACAUUUUAUUUUAUACUAUUGGAAAUAUAAUUUAUGUAUUCUUAAGAGCUUCGAAUUAAAUUUAAUAAAAAUCCAACGACUUUAACAUAUAA